rnacentral:tRNA from 1 species
GCGAGCGUGGCGGAACUGGUAGACGCGCAUGUUUGAGGGGCAUGUGGCCCUAAAGCCGUGGGGGUUCAAGUCCCCCCGCUCGCACCA